GACGAACGCUGGCGGCGUGCUUAACACAUGCAAGUCGAACGGAAAGGCCCUGCUUUUGUGGGGUGCUCGAGUGGCGAACGGGUGAGUAACACGUGAGUAACCUGCCCUUGACUUUGGGAUAACUUCAGGAAACUGGGGCUAAUACCGGAUAGGAGCUCCUGCUGCAUGGUGGGGUUUGAAAAUUUGCGCGGUUGGGGUUGGGCUUACGGCUUUUCAGGCUGUUGGUGGGGUUGUGGCCUAACAAGGCUUUGCCGGGUAGCCCGCCUGAGAAGGUGUACGGCCACAAUGGGACUGAGAGACGGCCCAGAAUGCUAAGGGAGGCAACAGGGGGGAAUAUUGCAAAAUGGGCGGAAGCCUGAGGCAGAAACCGCGGGAGCGGGAAGACGGGCUUCGGGGUGUAAACCGCUUUGGCCUGUGACGAAGAGUGAGUGACGGUAAUGGGUAAAGAAGCACCGGCUAACUACGUG
rnacentral:rRNA from 1 species